CCCUUUACAUGGAACAUAAGCCUAGGUUAUCACCUCAGUGAAAAGCCACUGUUCCCUUCAAGGUACAAUUAUGUACUUUAUGAAUGUUUCAUACACAAUAUAAUCAUGUAGGAGAGUACAUUUUAAGCCUUAAGGAGAGGCGAUGCGUACAGUACAUGCAGCAUUUAUUUACAAGAUCAUGAAAGCCUAAGACUUUCAUAAGCUAUGAAACAUUUCUUAGUAUAAUUUUUCAGCACACUUUUAAUAUAAAAGUGUAAAGGUGUAUUAAUGUGUACAAACUUUUCUUUCAGUGUCCUAACACUGCAAAAACGCUAAAUAUUACCUACUGAACUUACCUCAUUUUUAAUGAAAACUCAUACUGUACUUAUUUUAGUGACAGAAUGUCUUGUUUUAAGUUUUUUUUUUUUUUUUAAAUCUGCCAGUGGAACAAGUAUAAACUGAUAAACUAAUAUUCUUAAAAUAAGAUCAAGAUCAGAAAUCAGUUCCAUUACAUCACUAUUCAGGAUUUGUUUUGGGGGGUUGUGUUUUUAAGACAACAGAAUUCACAUUUCUUUGUGUUUCACACAUAUGAAGAUCUGCAUUUUUUUAAAAAUUAUAUUGUGGUUAUAAAUAUUUGCAGAAUAGAACAAAAUAUAACAAAUGAUGGGAAAUGUGUGUCAUCUGCAAUUUCCUUUUAAGAGGAUAUUUUCCUUCAGUCAGUAUCACUUGGAAUGUGUGGAAAAUGAACAUGCGGUUAUGAAGAAUCAACAAUGACAUCCAACCUAAAUUAUACGCUCCCUGGACGCUUCAUUCGCUACAGCUGCAUCUGAUGAGCUCCAUUAUGAGAGCUGUCUCAAAAACCUGCAUCUUACUGAGACAUUUCUAUGCAAUGCAGCUGUACAAAACUGCAAACUACAAUUAUAAUACAAUGAUAUAAUUAUAAUUAUAAGAUAUGUUUGAAUCAAUACCUCUCUGAUACUGGUGAGGCCAUAUGUUUUGGAAUGUAGUAUCUGAUUGGGCUAAGCUACAGUGCUAAGCCAUGCUUUUCGUUGUCCGUGUUAGUGUCUGCCAAAGGUUUCAGUCAUCUCCUCCGCUGGCAUCAGCGUUCAACCACACUGCUGCUUAAUUUUGGGCUUCUCAUGUGGCUUCUGUGUGUGUGCUUGCACAAUCAUCUCGUCCUCCUCCUUUGAGCUGCACUCCAAGUUGUGCUGCUGGUUUAAACAUUCGUCCACAUCUGGAAGACAAAACAGAAGAGGCAUAUCCUUUCUGCUGGGAAAUGGUGAGGUCAUUCAUUCCAAAGCCAAACCUUUUGCUCAAAAGAAUUGGUCACGAGGAGAAUCUAAGCGUUUGGAAGCUUUGCACUGUUGUAAAUCACAGCUCCGCCCAUCUGGGAGCAACUUGUAGCCACUGGGGCAGGAGCAGUGGUAUGAGCCUGGGACGUUGACACAUUCAUGGAUGCAUAACGUCCCUCCCUGGUCCAGACGGUAGACUUCACACUCGUUGACAUCUGUGAAAAACAGGAAAAGGCAGGCAUCUCAGGACCAUGCAGGGCUGCUGUACACAGGACCACAGGAAUAUAAUAUUUAGGAUGGAGGAAAUUCGCCAUAUUAAAAUCACAUUCUGGAACAAACAUAAAAUGAGACUGUUUCUGACAACCUGGGUUGCCUGGGUAUUAUGUGUAGAAAUUGUAUUUCGUUGAAAUGGUGAUGAAGGGCUAUGAUCUCCCAAAUACUUUUACAUUAUGUGAUAAUAUAACAGAUUGCUGUAAUCAAUCUUAAAUGCCAAAUUCAGUUGAGGAAUAAUGCAUGUAAAUACGGGACAGCGUAUCAUAGCAUGUGAGCAAUAUAGAGCAGUGAUUCUCAACCAGUGUGCCGGCGGGCACAUUAGUGUGCUGUGAGCGCUCUUCAGGUGUGCUGUGGGAAAUUAUUAAAUGUUACUUAAUUGCUCAAAAAAUUAUUUAUUUACAAGGAAUAAUGUAUCUUUGUUCAUCUAUUUAUGUCAUGGAGUCAUAGUGACAGACAGAACAAAUAAAUGCUCUUCUAUUAGAUGGCAGGAAGUACAUACAGUAAUUAAUGUAUACACAUUUUUGUUUGUUGGUGUGCCGUGAGAUUUUUUAAAUUGUAAAAUAUGCGCCUUGGCUCCAUAAAGGUUGGAAAUCAGUGGUAUAAGGAUGGCGUAUGAGCAUUCUGAUUGGAUAAUUAGUAAGUGCUCGGAUGUUCCAAAUAAAACAUCAUUACUGCAUCACUGAAUGCAUGUGCAACAUGCUACACUUAUCACAAUCCUGUUUUAAGUGCUUUAACCAUAUACAUACUGGGGAUGGGUCGGUAUCUGAUAAAAGCGCAUACCAUAUGGUAUGCUCUGCACAGGACAAUGCAACAUUAUGGCGCGUGGCUUUCGGUUUUGGACUUCACUUUGCGUUGACGUGUUCACCUUGUGAACAAGUCCAGGUCACGGACGUAAAACCACUAGCACGAGCACAGGAUUUGAGACGAAAAUGUGAAUCUCCUGUGUGGAUUAAUUUCGGUUUGACCGUUGAAUACAGUAACAAGGGAAUAAACACUGUAAACAGACAUUUUACUGUCUGAAAACAUUGUUUGAAACAUGUCCCAUACUUUUUAAGGAAACACGAGCAAUAUGACCAAGCUUCUCCUGUGUUCAUAUUCUGGCAUAACGCUUGGUGUACACACGACAGUUGAGCGACUCGAAAAGGUAACAAAACACCAGCAAAACAGAAAGUGACUAUAGAAUACUUUUGAGCAGCCAUAUCAUGCCACUUAAGAUAAACACAAGAAAAUAACCCGUGCAGUGGGAGAAUUUAAUGCUAAAGAUU